GACGAACGCUGGCGGCGUGCUUAACACAUGCAAGUCGAACGGAAAGGCCCCUUCGGGGGUACUCGAGUGGCGAACGGUGGCGUAACACGUGAGUAACCUGCGCUUGACUCUUGGUUAACUUCAGGAAACUGGGGCUAAUUCCGGUAAUACAUCCUUCCACCUUGGGGGGGGUUGGAAAGCUUUGGCGGUUUUGGAUGGACUCGCGGGCUAACGGCUUGUUGGGUGGGUAGUGGCUUACCUACGCGUUGACGGGUAGCCGGCCGGUGAGGGCGAGCGGCCACAUUGGGUCUUAGAUGCGGCCCAGACGCCGACGGGAGGCAGCAGGGGGGAAUAGUGCACAAGGGGCGGAAGGUGGAUGCAGCAGCGCCUCGGGCGGGAUGACCGCCUUCGGGUUGUAAACCGGCUGCAGCAGGGGCGAAGCUUGUGGUGACGGUACCUGCAGAAGAAGCACCGGCUAACUACGUG
rnacentral:rRNA from 1 species